rnacentral:rRNA from 1 species
GACGAACGCUGGCGGCGUGCUUAACACAUGCAAGUCGAACGGAAAGGCCCUGCUUUUGUGGGGUGCUCGAGUGGCGAACGGGUGAGUAACACGUGAGUAACCUGCCCUUGACUUUGGGAUAACUUCAGGAAACUGGGGCUAAUACCGGAUAGGAGCUCCUGCUGCAUGGUGGGGGUUGGAAAGUUUCGGCGGUUGGGGAUGGACUCGCGGCUUAUCAGCUUGUUGGUGGGGUAAUGGCUUACCAAGGCUUUGACGGGUAGCCGGCCUGAGAGGGUGACCGGCCAGAUUGGGACUGAGAUACGGACCAGACUCCUACGGGAGGCAGCAGUGGGGAAUAUUGCACAAUGGGCGGAAGCCUGAUGCAGCAACGCCGCGUGCGGGAUGACGGCCUUCGGGUUGUAAACCGCUUUCGCCUGUGACGAAGCGUGAGUGACGGUAAUGGGUAAAGAAGCACCGGCUAACUACGUG